GCAACAUGGAAAAGCUGGUCAAUUAGUUGAAAAAUACCCAUAUGAGAUGAUCCAACAGUGAACUUUCUUUCUUUUCUUUUUUUUUUUUUUUGAGAUGGAGUCUCCCUUUAUUGCCCAGGCUGGACUGCAGUGGCGUGAUCUCGGCUCACUGCAAGCUCCGCCUCCCGGAUUCAAGCGAUUCUUCUGCCUCAGCCUGCGAUUCUUCUGCCUCAGCCUCCCGAGUAGCUGGGACUACAGGCACGUGCUACCACACCUGGCUAAGUUUUUGUAUUUUUAGUAGAGAUGGGGUUUCACCAGAUUAGCCAGGAUGGUCUCCAGCUCCUGACCUCGUGAACCGCCCGCCUUCGUCUUACAAAGUGCUGGGAUUACAGGUGCGACAAGAUAAUGAACCUCCAUUCCUCUGAGAGAAGAGUAUUUUGAAUAUUCGACUUUGCCCAUGAAUUUCCCUUUCCAUGUCUUGCUCUGUUGCCCAGGUUGGAGUAAAAUGGUACAAUCACAGUUCACUGCAGCCUCGACCUCUCCAGUUCAAGUGAUCCUCCUGACUCUGCCUUCUGAGUGGCUGAGACUAUAGGCAUGCAUCAUUAUGCCUGGCUUUUUAAAAAACUUUUUGUAAAGAUGGGGUCUCCCUAUGUUGCCCAGGCUGAUCUUGAACACCUGGGCUCAAGGGAUCCUCCUGCCUUGGCAUCCCAAAGUAUUGAGAUUACAGGCAUGAGCCACCAUGCCUGGUCCUAACAUCAUUUUUUGGAUACUGCGCUUACUUCCUAAGAUCAAGAACAAGAAAGGAGAUGUGUGUAUGAGUUCUGCAGAAGUCCACCAAAUGUGGGCCAGGGUUAUUUCCCUGGUGAUGCUCUGAAGCUUUUGCCAAAGGACAAAUGGAAACAGGAAGUACAAUCAUGCACUGGGGUAAAGAAGAUUCAUCUGCUCUUAGCUACCUACCAUGCCAACACUCCUGAGAAAGCUCACAGAGGCCCAUGAUGCCCACCUGGAUCUGAGGACCUAGAAAGCCACAACAGGCAACCAUAAUCUGGGUCUUCCCUCAGCCAACUCCCCUGCAUAAAGUGAAUGAAUGAAAAACCCAUCUUAUAUUAAUCAGAGUUCUCUAGAGAAAAAGAACCAAUCAGAUGUGUAUAUAUAGAAAGAGAGAAUUAUUUUAGGGAAUUAGCUCACAUCAUUAUGCAGGCUGGUCAAUCAAAAAUCUGUGGAGUGGGCUAGCAGGCUGGAGACCCAGGGAAAGGCUAAAUUGCAGUUUAGAUCAGAAGGUCAUCUACUGGCAGAAUUCCCUCAUCUUCCAGGAAGGUGGAUCUUUUUCUACCAAGGCCUUCAGUUUAUUAGAUUAGGCCCAUGAACAUGCUGGAGGGUAAUCUGCUUUACUCAAUACAUACUGAUUUGAAUGUUAGUAUCAUCAAAAAGACCUUCACAGAAACAUCUAAAAUAAUGUUUGACCAAAUGUCUGCAUACCAUGGCCAAGCCAAGUUUACACAUAAAAUUAAUUAUCACACAUCCCACGAACACCAUCCCCAACAGAUGCUCAUGAGCAUUGUGGUUAUGAUUUCAACUUCAGAAUAAGGCAGAAAUGUGUACAAAUCCUGACCCUUUGACUUAUCAGCUCUCUAAAAAUCAUUAUAUGUCAACUUUCUAGACUUUACCUGAAAAACAGAAACCAAGAUACCCACAGCAUAAGAUUGUUAGGAUUGAAGAAAUUGUUACGAUUGUUAGGUAUGAAGAAAUUUAAACAAUGAUGCAGCUGAGAUAUUUAGAAUUGUACCUGGCAUGUACUUUGUAUUAAAUAACUAAUAAGGCCUUUUUCUGGUGAAAACAAAAUAAGCCUGGAUAAAAGAAGAUGAGACCAGAUUGGUUGAUGGCUCGGCCUGGGUGGGCUCCUGGCCCAUCUGAAAUUACAUUACUCUUAUGUAGUGCCUUUUUUGUUAUUGCUAAAAUAAAAUAAAUAAAACACUCUACUUUCAUACUUUGUAAAAUGCACUUCUCAUUCAGUUCCUCUUCCUGUGCCUUUUCCCUAUUGUCUAUCUGCACACAGCUGUUUUCUUCUGCACAUUUUCAUCACAGAGAAUUACCAGGUGUAGGUCAAAAGAUGCCACAGAGAUAACAAAGGAAAGGAAAAGCUUUUCUGCACUUCUAUCCUUGUAAGCACAAAAAUUAAUCACACUUUCAGUAAACAGGUCAGGUAAGUCAGUCCUGCACUUGAACCUUUUCUCCCCAAAUAAAUAGUUGAAAUGGGAAUGUCGAUUUCUGUAUUUGAACAGAAAUGUAUUAGUGUAGCUUUCAAAAGAAGACUACUCUCUCCAUAUGAAUAUCAUCAGACCCACAAAUACACAUAUGCAUACAUUCACAGUUCAUCCUAACGCUGCAGAAUAUUCUAAGAGUAACACAUUUCUGUACAAAUCAAGCAGCAGCUUUCACUUGCAUGCUAAUCUUCAAAUUAAUUCUGCAAUGAUCCAUUCAUUCCACAUCCCAACCUACAUCCUCAGAAAAACAAAGAUGUAAGUAAGGAACUCAGUAUAACAUGUUUGACUUUAGACACUACUCAAAUAUACUCAAACUUUAUAUGAAUAUGGAUAUUGCUCCUAGAUUAGGCAGUUCAGAAAACAAAUCUUGAUUAUUCUUAGUUACAAUGUAGUAUAAAAUAACAACAAUUUCAUGUCAACAACAGAAUCUCCUAAAAGAUCUUAUAAAGAUAAAAAGUCUUAGGUGUUAGUCGUCAAAGACUAAGUUGUAAAUGUAUCAUUGUAUUUGUGUAGUUAAUAAAACCCUAGACAAGAUAUGGGUUCCAGUUCUUGAACCACCACCACCUGUUCACCUUAAAUAAGUCAACUAAC
rnacentral:lncRNA from 10 species